AUUGCGCAACCGAAUUUUGUUGUUAAGCUGCUAUCGGAUCGUACAUGGCACUCAGUCUCAGCGAGUAGAUCAGCAUCGAUCGUCGAGUCAUCUAACUGCGACUAGAUGAUGAACAUCCCAUCAGUCUUAGAGAAUCAAGUCUAGUCUGGGGAGUUGUCGCAGACUGAACUAAGAAUGACGAGGCACACCAGAGUGAGCUGCGCUAAUUGACUCACACGGGAAACUACCAGGUCCAGACAUAGUAAGGAUGACAGAUUGAUAGCUCUUUCUUGAUUCUAUGGGUGGUGGUGCAUGGCCGUUCUUAGUUGGUGGAGUGAUUUGUCUGGUUAAUUCCGAUAACGAACGAGACCUUAACCUGCUAACUAGAUAUUUUCAUUUUAUGAAUAUAUCUUCUUAGAGGGACUAUAUGCUUUAAGUAUAUGGAAGUCUGAGGCAAUAACAGGUCAUGUGAUGCCCUUAUAUGUCCUGGGCGGCGCGCGGGCGUACACUGAUAUAUACAACAAGUGCCUAGCUAGAUAUAGUAUGGCAAUCUCGAAUAUAUAUCGUGAUGGGGAUAGAUCUUUGCAAUUAUAGAUCUUGAACGAGGAAUUCCUAGUAAGUGCAAGUCAUCAUCUUGCAUUGAUUAUGUCCCUGCCCUUUGUACACACCGCCCGUCGCUCCUACCGAUACCGGGGGAUCCGGUGAACCUGUUGGACCCUUUGGGAAAAAUAAGAAACCUUUUCAGAUUGAGUAAUCUAGAGCAACGCUAGAAAUUAAU
rnacentral:rRNA from 1 species